UCCACUGCGAUACUGAGAUCUGAAGGAACCGGAGGCAAAAAGCACGGGCCAAAGGACACGAACUGGAUUUCAGGCUGUGCAGUAAGAUGGGUCAUCGAAACAUGGCGAAAUCCAAAGCCGCCGAGGGCUGGCAAGGUAAACUCCAGUGGUCGCGGCAUCAGAUGACGUG
rfam:Paenibacillus wynnii strain DSM 18334 unitig_2, whole genome shotgun sequence.